rnacentral:lncRNA from 1 species
AUGUGCAAGCAAACAAGGGCCACUGCAGUAUUUUGAUUUUGUGUCAAAUUACUUCUUGCUGCAUAUAUUAUGUAUGGAGUCUCCUAUACAGGGUUUGGUGUAUUUAACUUCUGAUGGGCAUGUUUGUCUGUCUACAGGGCCCACCCAGCAACCUGCAUCUGCUGAGGACAACACCACAUGCUUUCCCCACCACACAUCAGCAUGCAGAGUCAGUGGAAGGUGAAAGCAGUAGUAAGGUGUGUGGCAUAAAACUGCAUUCUAAGUUCCACAUCAGCAGUCAUUGCAGUUCUUGAUGGUCUGACAAAGGUGCUACUGUAUGCCCCUGCCUGGUCUUUGCUGCAUACAGGCUCACAAGCUGCUUAUGGAGGACUGCUGCUGCUGCAAUGUCUUGUAGUGUUAACUAACAGUGAUAGAGGACUACUACUAGGCAUGACUACCAGAAGGUGUUAGGGUGGAUGAGCUGCAGCUGGGUGCACCCAGUAUGAAACUGUUUGGAGCUGUUUCGAAGCUUCUGCUGCAGCGGCUGCUGCAUACAGGCUCACAAGCCGCUUGUGGAGAAGCUACUGCUAGCAGCAGCAUUGUUGCACUGUACAGCCACUGUACAUACUUGUCUUGGAGUGUUAACUGACGGUGAUGGAGGGCUACUUCUGGGCAUAACUACCAGAAAGACUUGAGGUGGAUAGAGUGGUUGUGAGGUGUAUUGUAGCAUGUGUUGAGGCAAAUUGUUGACAGAUCUAUGAGCUGCAGCUGCAGCAGCCGCGGUUGUGGAAAUGUCUGGUGCUGUUUGGAAGCUGUAGCAGCUGAAGCUGAAGCAGGCAAUGCAUAUGGCUUAAUGUUGUUACAUAGCAGGACUUGGGAAUUUCGUAUGCAUGUAGCUGCUGCUAGGCGACAUGUAUAUGUAAAAUUAUGAAUCCAUGCAUACAUGGUCUAUCCCUACCCCUAUGGCAGCCAAACUGCGUGUUACGGCCCCCCCCUAGCAACUGGACUAGUUACUCCUGAGACGGG